GAUGAACGCUGGCGGCGUGGCUAAUACAUGCAAGUCGAGCGAACGGACGAGAAGCUUGCUUCUCUGAUGUUAGCGGCGGACGGGUGAGUAACACGUGGAUAACCUACCUAUAAGACUGGGAUAACUUCGGGAAACCGGAGCUAAUACCGGAUGAUAUUUUGAACCGCAUGGUUCAAAAGUGAAAGACGGUCUUGCUGUCACUUAUAGAUGGAUCCGCGCUGCAUUAGCUAGUUGGUAAGGUAACGGCUUACCAAGGCAACGAUGCAUAGCCGACCUGAGAGGGUGAUCGGCCACACUGGAACUGAGACACGGUCCAGACUCCUACGGGAGGCAGCAGUAGGGAAUCUUCCGCAAUGGGCGAAAGCCUGACGGAGCAACGCCGCGUGAGUGAUGAAGGUCUUCGGAUCGUAAAACUCUGUUAUUAGGGAAGAACAUAUGUGUAAGUAACUGUGCACAUCUUGACGGUACCUAAUCAGAAAGCCACGGCUAACUACGUG
rnacentral:rRNA from 1 species